AACCGACGCCUCCUCUGCCUUCCGCGCCAACCCCCGGCUACCCUCUUCGUUCGGCCCGGCGGCCAGACUCCCGUCAGACGCCUCUUCUGCAGGACCGAUGGCCCGGCUCUCAUCUGCAUUCGGCACGGCGGCCGAGACCUCAUUUUACGGCCCUCCAGCAGGACCCAGUUUGUAGGAAACCAUCCGGCGAUGUCCAGUCUGAUUCCACUGCCGAUUGUGAAGCAAGGAAGCUCCUGAUGACAAGUCGAUGUGAAUUUUUAGUAGGGGAAACAUCUAGAUACGAACCAUAGGAUAGGUUUAGUAUCUUAUUGGAAUUGCUGAUUUUCUUGAUAUAGCAUGCACAUAUGCAUGGGUAUGGUACUGCUAUCGCUCAGACUAUGGAGAGCAAUCCAUGAUUCAAGUUGAGUUAUUCAUGAACGAUUUUUUUCCGGUUUAUACCAGUUGCGAGCACCAUUGAUACAUUACCAGCCAGGCGGGCAAUGCUCAGUUUUGUUUUCAUGUAAGUAUUUUCGCUGCUGUGAUCAAAUACUACCGCUGGUGGAAGUUGUGGGAUUUCCUUGCAGUGUGCAAGAUGAACCUCUGUAUCAGUGGCGGCAAUGUUCUCGUCAGCAAGAGAAGUUUUGAUCUACUUCCACCAGCAGUCCAUUGGUGGAUCUCUUUGUGGCUAUUAUCUAUCAGCCUGCCAAUAUUGUACGUAUUUGUUUAGCAAUUGUAGACUGCGGGAUGGGUGAAGCAGAAGCUUAAUUAAGUUGAGGAAUGACAUCCAAGAUUUACCCCUUCACAGUCAAAGCCCUUCACAUACAACUUGGGGUGUCAGCUCUGUUUACUGGUAUUAACGUAGUCUUUGUUGACAUAGCUGGAGAGCAUGAAUGCAGAAGUGGAGAAAGUUUAAACUGAUACAAGAGUCCUAAAAAAAGAUUUG